rnacentral:rRNA from 1 species
UUUAUUUGAUGAAGAAUACUAAUUGGAUAACCGUAGUAAUUCUAGAGCUAAUACAUGUAUAAAGUCUUGUAGACUGCAUUUAUUAGAAUGAAAACCAUAGGUUUCGGCCUAUUCUCGAGAAAAAAAUAACUAAUCAUAUCGUAUGCUUACGUAACGAUGUGUCUUUCAAGUUUCUGCCCUAUCAGCUUUCGAUGGUAGUGUAUUGGACUACCAUGGCAGUAACGGGUAACGAAGAA